ensembl:snRNA U6 U6 spliceosomal RNA
GUGCUUGCUUCAGUAGUACACAUACUAAAAUUGGAACAAUACAUAGAAGAUUAGCCCCUGUGCAAGGAUGACAAGCAAAUUCGUGAAGUUUUCCAUUUUUUU